rnacentral:tRNA from 1 species
ACUUUCAAAGGACAGAAGUUAAUCCUGUGGCUUUAGGAGCC